GCGCCCGUAGCUCAGUGGAUAGAGCAGAAUCUUCCGAAGGUUAAGGUCGUACGUUUAAAUCGUAUCGGGCGCUCCA
rnacentral:tRNA from 1 species